AACGCGAAGAACCUUACCCAGGCUCGAAAUGUAACGGCUAGUACCAGAGAUGGUAUGUUCCGCAAGGACUGUUAUAUAGGUGCUGCAUGGCUGUCGUCAGCUCGUGCCGUGAGGUGUUUGGUUAAGUCCAGCAACGAGCGCAACCCUUAUCAUUAGUUGCCAACAUUUAAGGUGGGGACUCUAAUGAGACUGCCUGGGUUAACCAGGAGGAAGGUGAGGAUGACGUCAAGUCCGCAUGGCCUUUAUGUCUGGGGCUACACACGUGCUACAAUGGUCGGUACAGAAGGCAGCAAGACCGCAAGGUGGAGCAAAUCCGUAAAGCCGAUCUCAGUUCAGAUUGUAGUCUGCAACUCGACUACAUGAAGUUGGAAUUGCUAGUAAUGACGUAUCAGCAACGACGUCGUGAAUACGUUCCCGGGCCUUGUACACACCGGCUAC
rnacentral:rRNA from 1 species